CUUCGCUUCCAGUAUGGAAGCUAUUAUUCAGAUAAUAUCUGAAGUUAUAGGCCCACCUCCUGACAAUACAUCUGUUUUUAGCAAGUGUGCAAGGUAGUUGCAAUAUUUUGUGGUGAUUGGUGGGUACAUCGAUAUUUUAGUUCUUUUCGGUCGUUCUGUUGUAUUCUUAUCGGUAGUAAGUGGUUUUUGUUCAGUGUUCGAUUACGUUAUUCGAUUUACCGGUUAUUUGUUGAAUUUAGUUUUGUUUUAAUACGUGAUACCCGUAGUUGUCACAACGGUCAUGAGCGUCGUGAUGAGUUUCAGCGUCGCGGCAAUCCCGGCGGCGCUGUAGCAGAGCGACGCGUGGA